CCUGCAAUGAAUAUCUGAACUGAUAAAAUUUAGAGCCCAGUGGGACCUCUGAAGUCAACAAAGUUUAUCCCAUUAUUUUACAAAUGAAGAAACUGAGACCCAGAGAAUGGAUGGGACUUCUUUUUCAUCAGCAACAGUACUGAACUUAGAACUCAAAUGGAAGCUAACAAAUCAGAUUGAACGUAUUAGAGAGCAGGCAUGGAAAAUAUCUAUUUGAAAUCUCAAAAGACCCACCUGUGGCUUAGACUGGACUCUGCUUUUUAUUCGGUUAUUGCAAACAGGUGAGGAGUCUGCAUAUAUGUUCCUGUUCUUUCACGGAGAAAGGGUGAAGUAUCGGCAGAGGUUUAUCGUCUCUUCGGUAAGGAGGCUGAGACUUUACCUCGCUAGUGAAAGGCUAAGUCAAGGUGCUCUGACAGAAAAGAAUGGAUUUGAAAGGAGCGAUGUUUGAUUCUGGGGUAUCCAAGGAAGAGAAUUCAUCUUUAAAGUUCACUUCUUCAACCAGAAAAUUAAUAAAACAUAGCACACCUGUGGAUACCACACUAUCUAAAAGCAUGAUUUCCAUAGAAAGUAUAUCCUACCUAAAAGAAGCUGGAAGUGAAAGGGAAACUCCUAUGGAGUCUCCCCUCCCCAAAACACCAUUUCUAGAAUUUUCAACUCAUCCAGAAACAAGAAGUGUUCAGCCUAUUGGCCAAAGAAAGAGACUUUCUACAGUAUCUGCUUCUGAGGAAUCCGAUGCAGAGGUACAAAAUAGCUUUAACCUCUCUUCAGCCAAGAAGGGACAUCAAAUGCCUGAUCCAUUAACCGAGAAACAGAGUAAGAUGUCCUUCGGAAAAUGGUACUGUUACGGAUUACCUGGAAUAAAGGACCCUGUUAAAAGAAAAGGCCGUUGGAAGAAGCCACGUGUGGCCAAUGAUUUGACUCCAUGGGAACUUCGUCAACUUCAAAACAUUGAAGAAGCUACUCAUCAUGAAUUAGUUGUUGAAGUCACAUGAUGGUCUUCCAAGAAAGCCUUUAAAUGGAUUCUUUUUGAAAGUUCUAUAACUUCUUCCCAU
rnacentral:lncRNA from 1 species